rnacentral:rRNA from 1 species
AACGAACGCUGGCGGCAGGCUUAACACAUGCAAGUCGAACGCCCCGCAAGGGGAGUGGCAGACGGGUGAGUAACGCGGGGGAAUCUACCGUACCCUACGGAACAACAGUUGGAAACGACUGCUAAUACCGUAUACGCCCUACGGGGGAAAGAUUUAUCGGGGUAUGAUGAGCCCGCGUUGGAUUAGCUAGUUGGUGGGGUAAAGGCCUACCAAGGCGACGAUCCAUAGCUGGUCUGAGAAGAUGAUCAGCCACAUUGGGACUGGGACACGGCCCAAACUCCUACGGGAGGCAGCAGUGGGGAAUAUUGGACAACGGGCGCAAGCCUGAUCCAGCCAUGCCGCGUGAGUGAUGAAGGUCUUAGGAUUGUAAAGCUCUUUCACCGAUGAAGAUAAUGACGGUAGUCGGAGAAGAAGCCCCGGCUAACUUCGUGCCAGCCGCCGCGGUAA